UCCCCAGCACAGGGACUCCGGUCACCAGCACAGUGCCUCCAGUCCUAAGGACAGGGACUCCGGUCUCCAAAAAGGGCCUCCAGUCACCAGCACAGUGCCUCCAGUCCUAAGGUCAGUGACUCCGGUCCCCAACACAGCGCGCCCGGUUCCCAACACAGCUACUCCCUUCCUCAGCACAGCGACUCCAGUCCUUAGGACAGGGACUACGAUCCCCAGCACAUUGCCUCCAGUUCUAAGGACAUGGUCUCCCAUCCACAGCACAGUGCCUCUGGGACAUCAUGAUAUUAGAAUCAAUGCAGUGUGGUCAGGAAAAAGUGGAUGUGUACUGAUGGCCAAAAUUGGGCCAUAUAAAAUCUUUACGAUGGACAUAGCAUGCCUUGCACCUGGCAGAGAACUCGAGAGCGAGGUUAUUUAUCCAUCCCAAAAACAAACAUUUUUCUUGGAUCCCCUGGGAGGGCCGGAUAUGAAAGUCCAGAAGUGCCUGGACACCACAAGUUUGCAGAAAAAUUACUGAAGGACCAGCCAAUCACCUUUUGUAAUACAGAAAAUGAAAUAAACAUCAUGAGGAAAAAGAUGUCAGUGACUCUUAUGCAAGAAUCAGAAGACUUGACUGAUCUCUGUCAGUUCUGUGGUGAAGACAUCAACCCAAGUGAUCCAGUGAUGACACCUGCUUGGAUUGCCUGUGAUGGAUGUGACAGGUGGUACCACCAGUCAUGUGUUGGCAAUCCACCAUUGGAGGACGACUUUCAUUGCCCUGUGUACUGAAGGCCUAGAUUAAAUAAUAUAUAACUCCAGUUUUGUGAAUGAGUGUUCUGCAGUUGCUCCCACUGUCUGGUGGAUGACAUGUUAACAUUUCGAAAUAUGGUGUUGUAAUAAUUGUAUGGUGUUAUAAUUACAUGUAAUUGUUAUAAUUAAAUACAUCUGUUCCCCCUGUGUUUUUGGUGUAUGGGACUGUUCUGUAGAUUAAAAGUUCUUCUAGACGGGAGUUGUUUAACAAUAAUAACAACACAAUAUUGUACAUUGCAAUAUUGUUUAUUUAUUGAAAACAUAAGGUUGUGUGACAACCCCGACAAACAACAACAACAACAUAAUAAUAUAAGCGUCUGUCGAAAAUUCGUUUAUUAACUUGACGCUGUUGUACAGAGUUUCACAAGUGGUAGCCUAAACUACGAAAGCUAUAAAUCUCCAAAAACAAUACAUUCUACUAAUAUUUUUGACAAACAACGUGAAAGUUACCUUAUGUGGAUGAAAAGUAGGAAAUAACAUCAGAAACUGACGCUUGGGAUAAAGCUUUUUUUAUUAUUAUUAUUAUUUCCAGAAUUAUACAUCAAGUAAUACAGUGAAUACAAAUAUUUAACAAAUAAUAUUCUAAAUGAUUACAAAGCAUCAUAAGACAAAAAACAAAAAAGAAAACAUACAAAAACAUAACGAAAAGGGAUGUACAUAUAUACUUAAAAUAAAGAAGAGAAAUUUAAUUCUUUAAUAAUGUCCAUAGUUCUUAUUGCUUUGCGGUUUGAAAGUCCUUUCAGUGUUUCAAAGUAAAUCUUCAUGUCAGCCUUAAAAUGGUAGAUGUUGGGUAUCCUUUCAGACCAUUUACAUUUAUGUAUGUAAAACUUACCAAGUAAUAAAAUAAGAUUUAACACAAAACUGUGACUUUUAUCUCUCUUUUUUUGUCAUAAUAAAAAAAAACAUCCUUUUUCUCUAUGCAAAUUUUAAUUCCACUCAAUAUAUUAAAUAAAUAUUCCACAUCAAUCCAAAAAAACUUCACAUACAAGCAUUCAAAGAAAAGAUGUACUGUAAGACAGUUUCAGUAUCCUUUUUACAAAAUGUACAGGAUUCAGAAAGGUCAUUUUUUGGGUAAAUUUUAUGUAUAAUUUUAAAGUAUAUUUCAAAAACUUUAUUAUUAAUACAGUAUUUAUUAUUAUAAGUCCAAAUCAAUCUCCAAUUAAUAUUUACGCUUGGGAUAAAGCACACAUUUUCCGCUUCAAAAUCAUGACGUCAGGAAUUCACGCAUGUGCGCCGAUGGGGAAACAGGGGACUGAACUCACCGGAACACCGGCUCUAGUUGCCAAGUCCGCUACGCGACUUUUUUUUUUUUGUAAGUCGCGUUAAAACAGCACGGGUUGCGUUUUUUUUGGGCUUAUUAAAGAAUAUAUGGUUGCUUGUUAGGAAAAUCUGACAAGCAACUUCGUUUUCAUCUAUGGUGUACAUUGAUACUGAUACAUUGAUUGAGACUGUCUGCUUACAGAUAUAGCCAAAUCAGUGCAAUCAUAUAAGUGCUGUGGCGUAACAUUCGUCAAAACAUUCCGCUGAAUCCACCCCUUAUCCCCCUCAUUGGAGUAAAAUCACGUUCACUUGCAAGGCGGCGCGCU
ensembl:lncRNA